GCAGAAACAUUCAUUCCUGAAAUGAGAAACUGCUGAUUGUUUUUACAUAAAGCAUUAAAACCAUAAACAUCGAACACAAGUACAAAAGGAAGUACAAACCGACUGCUUAAGUUCAUAACGAGCAGACAACAUAUAGUCUGUCUUUAUUUAAAGUCUACAGUCACUACUGAAGCAGAAGAUAGAAAUUUAAUGGGGAUACCUCAUAACCAACCUGCAUGGUGCAUAGAUUGAUUUUUGUUGCAUCAUUUGGAGGUCCCAGCAACUCCACUGGUGUUGAAGGAACCAUGGUUGAGAACGCCAUGACGAUAGGCUUCUACAGGGUAACUGAUUGACGUCCCCAGAAUUUUACUUCCCCGAACACAGUUCGAAUUGACACCUUCCGGAUACGAGCUUGCUGGGUACCUGACUGAAUUUGCAUAUAAAGACUGCUAGCAUCUCCUCCAUCAACUUUUGCUUUGCCCUUGCCCUUGACAUCAGCAUAUACAUAACAGCAGCACCCAUUUCCUUGGAAAGGUGACAAGCUCAAAGAGUUGUUUGAACUCUGUGGGUCUUGAGAAACGAAGAAACUUUUACCAUUUUUGGAUGUCCAACUCCCCCUCAUUAAAUAUAGGCUUCGCUGGUACUUCUGGAGGUGGCCCUUCACAUGGUAAAGAGUUAAACCCCGAAUCUUCAUUAUUUGUUGAACAACCUUUGGAGUUGCUCUUCUUGGUCCACCAAGCUGUCUGACAGCUUUAAUAAAACAUUUAUGAAGUUUUGAAGUCCAUCGAAGACGAGGUGUUGAAUCAGAAGUGAAAAAAACAGAAUUUGGAUCAAGCUCUUCGCUGUCCCUUACUCUCGCAUCACAUCCCUCAAAUGAAAAAUAAUGCUCAUAAACCCUGUGAAGGGCUGGUGUUUCCUUCAUUACCACUACGUCCCUUUCCUCAGAUGAAACAACAUGGUCCCGCACCAUGUUAAGAGUCGGAGUGUUUUCCACCACCACUGCCACCUCGCUUUCCUCAGAUGAAAUAGCAUGGUCAUGCACCAUGUUAAGAGUUGGUGUUUCUUCCACCACAACCGCCUCUCCAUCAUAUGAAAGAACAUGGUCAUGAACCAUAUUAGGAGAUCGGGUUUCCUCUACCACCACCACCUCCCCUUCAACAUGGUCAUGAACCAUGUUAAGAGUUGGAUCCAGCACCCUCGCCUCCCCUUCAACAUGUUUAUAGACCAUGUUAGAAGUUGGAGUUAUGAGGCUUUCUUCGAGUGCAAGAAAAGCAUCAUCAUCAUCAUCAUCCAAUUCAAGCAGUGAAGUGAAUUUGAUUUCAGGAUCAUUUUCAAGCUGGAGCUGCAACUCAAACUCACUGGAGAAACCAAGCUCAGUUACACUACUCGGUCCUCCAUUUUCAAUUUCGAAAUCAUCUAUAAGUUGGUGGGUGUUGGUGGGAACAUCACCUCCUGGAAACACAUCCAUUGCUCUCCCUAUCUCAGUAUCACUCACUACUCACUAAUGGCUGGCUCUGUAUGUUAUUGUAUACUUGCAACCCCUAUAUAACCAAGAGCAUGAAAUACUGAAAGCAGACACCCAGAAAGGCUGAGAGUGAGAGAUGACAGUGCAACAGUGGAUUGGCCAGUGUGCUGGUGUGGCAAAGUGAGAGGUGCUGAUUGUGCCCUGGGGAUAUCACUGAGAGGAAGAAGAAGUCUCUGUUCUGUUCUGGCUAUGGCUUGUUCUGCUGCAUGUAUAGAAACGUGGAAGCCUAUUUGCUGAGUCUGUCUGUCUCUAAUGUUGAUAGUGAGGUGGGUUUUGGGAUUUCGAGGUGGAUGUAUUGCCAUUGCUCGAAAGAAUCAAAAACUGGGUUUUUUCCUUCUGGAUUUUAAACCCAUUGUUUAAUUGGGCACACGAGUGAUUUUGAUUUUGAUGUCCCCAGACCGGACUUCCCCGAGAACAAUCC
rnacentral:misc_RNA from 1 species